rnacentral:lncRNA from 1 species
AUAAAUGGAACUAAAGAAUAGGUAUUGUAAAGGGGGACGUACCCCGCCAUCCACAUGGAAUUUGUCAGAUCUCUCAUACAACAACAACGGCCCAGUGAAAUCCCAUUAGUGGGGUUGUUGGAUCUCUCAUACAGGAAAAAAAAUGAAUGAUAUUUGCUGUACAUGGAAUGUGGAAUGUAACAUUCUAAUGCAACAUCUCACAACCAAAGCUUAUAGUUUAGUGGUACUGGCAGAUGUCAUUCACACAAUAUAUGUGGGUUGGAUUCUCACUGUCCAAUUUUCCUCCCCUUUUCUCAUGUAAUAGAAAAUAAAAUAAAGAAUUAAAGAUACUCAACAUUCUCGUCGUCAAGGUUGGAGGUUAUUUCUUUCACACUGUUGACAAGCUCAACUGUUGCUUGCGAUUGAAUAUCUGAUGCCCAAUUGAAACUAUUUCACUUGAAAAUUCGUAUAAAGUUACCAAUUUGACUUUAUGUGAACUGUUAAUUGUACAUGAAGAGAGUUUUAUAAUUCAGACGAAGAAAAAUGAAAAGAUGCUGCCGGGACUACUACAAAGUCCAAGUUAUUUUUACCAAUCAAGAGACUUCGUGUGCUCAAAGAAGCUGUUGCUGAUGUCUCAAAAAUAACAAAGCCCAACUUAUUUUUCUACCACACCUGUCAAUUUGAUUCCAAUUUUUUCUUCCAAUCAUUGAGGUUUUAGAUUCUUAAAUAACAGAGCUCAUGUUAAGUUCUAACCAGCUUGUCCAACUAUUUUAAACCCCAAUUGCUUAUUCAAAGUACUUAUUGCUACAAGAAUUUUCUUGGAUUUUUUAAUUGGUGAAAGAAUAUAUAGAUAUGCCUUUUUUUCUUUCCAAGUUUUGCUGGAUUCUACUAAUCACAUAAAUUUAUUACGCAGAAUUUCUACUGGGCCUUCCUUGUUUAUGCAUUUGAUUUUUUUUUUUGAGGGGGGGUGGGGGGGUUGGUUCCGCGAAUAUGUUAUGCAUGUUCUAAGUAACUUGGUUAUUUUUAUAGUAGUGAGGUAUUCAAUUGAAGUAUUGAAUAUGUUAUGCAUGUUCUGAGCAACUUGGCAAAUUCGAGUUUUUUAGUCCUUUUUGCUCUUCCUCUAAGUCUUAACUUUCAGCUAAAUGUUGGUUGUGUCGGAGGAAGUAGAACUAUAUUUUCCAGUCUAUUUCAGUCUGAAUUUGGAUAAAUAAUUCUACAUUAAAUUGCUCAUUGAAUUGUCAAUUUAGCGUGACGAAUCAAGGAUAUGAACUUACAUUCAUUUUUAGAGGCUAAUACAAAUAUACUCGAUUUGAAGCCAUAUUAAUUAGCAGUGGAGAAGAUGACGACAACAACAACGACGACCCAGUAAAAUCCAACAAGUGAGGUCUGGGGAGGAUAGUGUGUACGCAGACCUUACCUCUAUCCCGAGGGGUAGAGAAGCUGUUUCCGAUAGACCCUCGGCUCAAGAAGACGAAAAGAGACAAUAUACAGCAGCAGAGAAGAUAGUAGCAAAAUACUUCUGAAAGAAUGGAGUAUCCAUGCAGUACAAUUCCAUGAGGAUUAUUGAAAGUACUCUUAGAGAACUUCCAGGUUUAAAGUGGUUAGAAGUGCUCUUAGAUUUCAAUUUUAUUUUAGAUAAGCAUGAUCUCUCCCAUUGUUCUUCAAUGUAGGUGAAUUCAAAAGUUGUUUUAAGGUCAAGUUGGUAAGAACAGGUAUAUUUCUGGUCAUACUAAUUGUAACUUUUAAAGGUUAAAAAACUUGGGUUUCUGUUGAAAUAAUUCUUGGAGUUUCCCAACGUUAAAAAGGACGUAGUUUCUGAUGCUCAUGAUUGAAGUAACAUCUUGAUUUAAUUUAGAGUUGAGCACCACCUAUAUGGAUUUUGUUCUAAAUAAAUAAUAUUCAGGCAGGGGCGGCUCUAAGGCUUUGGGAAGCGAGGCCAUUGCCUUAGGCCCCCAAAAUUUGAAGGCCCCAAAAUUAUUUUGAAUUCUUAUUAUUAUAGUUAUUAUAUACUAUAUAAUUUUUAUAAAUAAUUAGUAUAAAGAAAAAUAUUAUAAUAUAUUUUUAUUUACUUAAUUGAGGUUAUUUUAUACCAAUAAAUUUAUAAAUUAUGAUAAUUUUCUUCCACCAUUAAUUAGAUUAUUUGCUUCAUUCUUCAAUUUUAAUUUAUUCUUUUUAUACAUGAAUUAAGUUAUAUAUAUCGACAACAAAAUAAAUUUAUUUUAUAAUAUUCUCUGAAACUCCAUGAACACAAAAACAUUCAUGUACCGAUUUCUUUUGGUGUAAUUCGACAUAUUAUAUUAGGUUAUUUAUAAUUUAUUUUAGAUAUUCACCAAUAAGUGCUACUUUUUUUUUGGUCAAAAUAAUUUUUUUUAUUCAACCAAAUGUAUAUAUGUACAUCCUUUUGGACUCUAGGACUAGUCCUCUAUAGUCAAUACUUAUCUAAGUAGCAUCUUAAACUAUACAAAGAAUUUAAAGAACUUGCUACUUCUAUAUAGGAAAACAAUUCAGACUUUUUAACACUUUUUGCCAUUUGUGAUAUCUCUGCUCUCUAGUAUGCAGCUGGAGGACAAUUUCUCUCACUCUAUACGCACUCUCUUUCUUUUCCUGCUGGAACCUUCGGCUAAUUCGUUCAUGCCAGACAUGGUAGAUAGUAGCAGCAAACAACGAUCUUACAAUUUCUUGUCUUGCUCUGCCUCCCCGCGUUCUUUUAGUUAUCCAAUUUAGUUCUUCAUUCCAUGUAGUUAUCUAUCUAGGUUCUCCUAUCCAUCGCUGCAAGAUAGCCCAUAUAUAUAUCUUGAAUAGGUACAUCCAAAGAACAGAUGUGCAAACGUUUCAUCUUCACUUGAGUUGCAUAAAACAUAUUCCUUACGAACAUGAAUCCCCCAUCUUUCCAAUCGAUCAAUGGUAGCUAAUAGUUGUCGAACUGCAAGCCACAAUAUGAACUAAUGUCUUGGUAUCAACUGUGUUCCUAUAGUAAUGUAUUUCCAAGGGACUUUCUGGUACUGUGGACAUAGAGAUAGAUAUGCUUUCUUUAUGCUGAAACCUUCAUGUGUAGCACAUUGCUGCAGUUCCACUGUAAGGUCCUUGUCCUUAUACCAGUUCCUGGCAUCAAAAAUUUUCUCACAAGCCAGCACGCUUGUUUAGGUAUUAGCAUAGUGACUAAGUCCCUGUUUUUUUUACAUAGAAUCCAUGAAUCCAUAGUACCCAAAGAGACUCUUUUCUUGUGAUCACUGCCCAAAGAAGUUUACAUAUUGAUGCUUUGUUCCAUGUGUGAAAAUUGAUGAUAUUUAAAAUCUCCAGCUAACUUGGGCAUGCAUAGUUGUUCCUAUGACACUAGUGCCUUUCUUGAUGCAUCACAAUUGCAUGUCCAAAGAAAUAUUCUGCAGAUACUCGUUAGUAAUUGUAUUACUUUAAUAGGAAGACUUGAGCCCAAUAUGUUUGAAUCUCAAACAAUACGCUUUUGAUGAGUUGUAAUCUUUCACUAUAUGAUGGCAGCUCGGUAGUCCAGCAUAUGAUCUUUGAUAUCAUUCUCUCUACCAAGGGCAUACACUGCUGUAUAGUUAGUUUCCUAGCAGAGAAGGGAACACCAAGAUACUUAAAGGGCAUCUCCCCUAAAGUGAAUUGCAUUUCAGUCAAGAUUUGUUCCUUCAGGAUUGUUGAGACACCAGUGAUAUAUAAAGAACUUUUGUCCAGAUUUGCUCCGAGGCCAGAAACAUCUGAGAAGUGAUUGAAUGCUUGGAGCAGCAGCUGAAUUGAUAUUCUAUCCGCUCGACCACACAUUAUGAGAUCAUUCGCAAAGCAUAUAUGCACCAACUUUAUCUUCCCACACCUUGGAUGGUAGUUGAAGUCAGGGAUAUGUUGUAGUUGCUUGAGGGUCCUGUUCAAGUAUUCCAUAGCCAGAACAAAGAGAUAAGGACACAGGGUCCCCCUACCUCAGUCCCUUUUUAGCCACAAACUUAGGAGUAAGCCCUCCAUUGAUUAGGAGUGAGUAGCUCACUGUGGUAAUACAUUCAAUGAUCCAGUUCACAAACUUCCUAGGCAAGCCAAAUUCUAGUAGAACACUCUUUAGAAUACCCCACUCCACUGAAUCAUAUGUUUUCCUGAUGUCGAUUUUGAUUAGGCAUCUAGGUAAUAAUCCUUUUUGAGUAUAGCCCUUAACUAGCUCAUGAGCCAUUAUAACAUUGUCCAGUAUACUCCUCCCUGCUAUGAAAGCUGAUUGGGAUGGUCCAACUAAAGAAUCCGCUACUAUCUUCAACCUAACAGUGAGGAUUUUUGCUAUGAUCUUGUACAUGGUGGUACAACAAGCUAUAUAUCUAUACUCUCUCACAUAUGUUGGAUUAGAGACCUUGGGUACUAAUGUUAUUGUGUUACAGUUGAUCUCCUUUAACAGUUUUUCAUUAUCAAAAAAUUGUAGGAUAGCCUGAGUAACUUUUUCUCCUAUCAUUCCCCAAAACUCCUUAAAAAAUUCUGCAGUGAACCCAUCUAUUCCAGGAGACUUGUCAUUAGGUAAAUCCCUCAGUGCCUGGAGCACUUCCAUUUUUGGGACAAGUUGAAUAAGAGCUUGUUGUUUCUCUCUAUUGAGGCAUGGUCCAUCUUUGGCAUAGUAGGUGUUUAGGCAUGACACCUCAUGAGCAGUUGUUCCUAGCAGCCUUUGAAAGAAGUUUGUGAAUUCUUUUUGCACCUGUGUAGGCUCUAUUAGUUGCACUCCUUGAUCAUUCCAUAUUGAAACAAUACUAUUUCUAGCUUGUCUAGCUUUGAGUUGAGCAUGGAAGAACUUAGAGUUGGAAUCCCUAUGAUUGAUCCAGACAACUUUGGAUUUUUGUCUAAGCACUCUUUCAUGAAUAGUAGACAAUUUCUCUAGUUUCAGCAAUAUCUCUCUCUUCCAAAAUUAGUUGUGGAUUAUAGAGAUCAUUCCCUACUUCACUCUGGAUGUCACUAAGCUUUGACUAUAACUCCUUUAGUUUAUGAUCUAGAGAUGACAUUUCUCUGUUUAUGGUCUUAGUUGCCUGCUCAAUAUGCUUCAGCUUCUUGCAUACUCUGUACAUAGUAUACCAUGUGAUGUUAAUCUCCCAAGCUUUUUGAGUGGCCUCUUUGAAUGCUUCCUGAUGCAGUAGCACAUCCAGCAAUUUGAAGGGCUUGGGAAGUCUCUAUCUAGGCACAAUGGUAGAGAGGAGGAUGGGUGAGUGAUCUGAGCAUCCCUGAUUAAGAUAACAAGCUUUCAGAUUACCAUAAGUGGUGAACUAUUGAUCAUUGCCAAGAGCCCAGUCAAUUAAGCUAUAAAUUCUAUCCUCAGGAUUUUGCUUAUUGCUCCAUGAAAACUGACAUCCCUUCCUUCUGAUUUGGCGAAGCCAACUUCAUCUAUACAUUCCUGAAAAUCUUGUGUUUUUGCUUGCUGGAUAGGAGCCCCAUUAACUCUAUCAUGGACCGACAAAACAGUAUUGAAAUCCCCCAUUAUCAUCCAUGGUUCAGUUAUAUUAUUAUUGAUCCUUUUCAAUUGCUCCCAAAUUUGCUUUCUUACUUCAAUAGUGUUAUAACCAUAUAUAUAGGUGGUAUGGCAAGCAACUCUAGAAUAUUUGUCUUUCACAUAGCAGUGGACUACUUGAGGAUGUGAUGAUAGAAUCUUAACCGUAACCUGUUGUGGCUUCUAACAUACCCAUAUUCUGCCGUUAAGACUUGAGUGAUAGUCUGUAUCUAUAUCAGCCCCCAGUUUCCUCUUUAUUCUCUCAGCUUUAUUAGCUUUAACUUUCUCAAGGAAGCCAAUCAGAACCACCUUAUUCUUAAGCAGAAUGGAUUUUAAUUUUUUUUGCUUGAAGGGCUUAUUCAGCCCUUUAAUAUUCCAUGAUCCAAAAAUCAUGGAGGAUUCUUAUUGACUGGACUAGUAACCCUUACCAAAUUGCUAGUGGCUUUCUCUGUAUCUAUUUUUAAGGCAUUGAACUUAUUCUGUCUUAGCAUCCUUUCCAUUUCAAUACUUGCCUGUAUCUUAUCUUGUAUCUCUGGCAUCUGCAUUAGCUGCUUUCCUCUAUCAGUAUUGUUUGCUUUCUCCAUAGGCAUAUCUUCAUAUUUUUGGCCAGUUGUGAUCAGAUUGGCACCAUCAUUUGAAUUAUCAGGUUGCUCAGCUGUUGAUACCAGUAUCUGUGCAUUCCCCACAUCCUUGUUUGGGAUAGGAUCAGACUUGGCCCUCCAUUCCUUCUUUUGGUGGUUCCUUCCUUUGUUCACUUGUUGUUGCUCCAAGUUACCAGCAUUAUCUGGUGCCUUCUUACAGCUGCCUGUGACAUGUCUCAUUUGAAGACAUUCUUGACAAAAUAGAGGUUUCCAUUCAUAUUCCACAGCCUGCAUUCGACGUUGCCCAUUGGGCAUCUCUAAUGGAAUUUCGUCUGGCAAUGGUUGGGAUAUGUCCAUUUCAAUUAGCAUCCAAGCAUAAGCAAUUCUAUCUUCCUAUGUUGUAAGCUUAUCAGUGCAGAUUGGUCGUCCUAGACAACUGGCUAUUUUUCCCAAAUUUCUAGUAGUCCAAAAUUGGAUAAGUAAAUUUGGUAGCAUUACCCACAUAGGAAUGAUUUGGUCAGGCUCAUUACUCAUCUGAAAAUAUGAUCUCCAUUGCUUGAGCAUUAGAGGUCUGUGAUUGAAGGUAUACGGGCCAUUCUGCGGUAUUGUGUUCUUAUCUACCUCACAAUCAAGUUUGAACAUGAAGUACCCGUCGUUAUGGAGAAAUACCUGAGGGGUAGUGACUGAGUUCCAUACACAAAUUUUAGCAUCUCUUUGAAUGUAGGAUUUCCUCCAAUUACAUACCCAAUUAAGGCUAGACUCCAUUUCUGGUUCUGUGUUGCAAUUUCUUGUGGGUUCAAUUCAACUAACUUGACACCAUCCUUCAGUACCGGCGGGUGGUAGUCGAGUUUCAUACCCAAUUUUUGCUGUCGAUUCCCUUCAACCACUUCUGCCAUAGUAGGCUUAAUUUCACUAGAUUUGACCGAGAAAGUGAGCUUCCUCGCCGCAUUUGAAGCUCCUACUUCUGGAUCGUGUGGAGUCUCUUCCUUGAUUAGCGGAAUCGCCGUUUGCAUUACUGUUGGAGCACUUUCCAUCACUGGCAGCCAAUGCAUCAAUUGAAUCGGCGCUAGUGAUUGAGGAAUGCCAGAUUCUGGUGUUAUUUGCCUAGAUGUACCUUCGUUAGCUUUAGGUGAGGCCGGUGCCGGAGCAACCUGCCGCUUCUUCCUCGCCAUUUCGACUGGCGGCGCACGUUAGUAACCCUAACGUAACAUACACCGAGAGAGAAAAGCUUUUUUGGGUUCACUCUUUCAUUGUUGCUGCUGUUGAGUGCUCCCAAUAAGUGCUAUUUAAUAAACUACGAUUAUCAUUUAAAUUGAUUAAAGGAGUAAAUAAUUUUGAUAUCAUCAAUGUUCAAAACUUAAGCUAUUAUGUAUUUUUACUAUUUUUUCUUGUUUGUGAUGGUAACCAAUUCAAAAUUUUCACUUUGGGUUCUGGACCUAACAUCCUGUAGUCCACCACUUUAUUCUUUGUGCUCUUCUUCCUAUUUUUUUAUUUUUUUAAUUCGCUUUUUUGUAUUAAAUAAUUAAUUUGUUAUUUAAAAAGCAAAUUUUAUUGUUAGAGUAUAUAUUUAAUAAAAUAAAUUGAAAAGCCCCUCAAUACGGUUUUGCCUUAGACCACGAGAUCCGUUGAGCCGCUCCUGUAUUCAAGUUAGUAGCCGUGUCAUGCCAUAACUAUAUGGCAAAAUAAGUUGACAUCGGACAGCUCGGUGCACAAAGUAUUUUGUAUUCACGCAAGAUUCGAGGAAGGGCCGCUUCCCAAAGUGUGUAGUGUAAAUAGUCUAACCUAAUGCAAGCAUUAAUAGCUGAUGUAUCCCCCUUUCAGCAAGUUGACAUCAACAAGAUGAUUGUAUGGAGGUAAAAUUGAUAAACGACAGGUGGAUGCUCGGCGGGUUGACACGUAAAAGUAAAAGACAAGUACGAUAUGAGUCAACAAAUAGCUAACACCAGUUACGAAUAUGUGAUCGGUGCUAAAUAAUUUUCAAAGGCAUUGAAAUCGGGGACAAAAAGAAGAUAUCGGUUGGAAAAGAAAAUAUUCAAUGAGCAGCCGUUACAAAGAAUCUUUGCAUUAAUGCGCAACCAUUAUGCAGCCAUCAAGAGGGAUUUUAUUCAUAUUAAAGAAGAGCUUGAUUUGGGGUUGAUGUCUCCCUGGAUUGAGCUAUAAAUAGGAUAAUUUGCAUCCAUUGUUGGACACGAAACAUCUCCACAAAAAAAGCAAACCUAGCUCUUAUUCUGUCAAGCAACAUUCUCUCUUUUUAUUCUUCAUAUUGCUCUUAUUAUUGCUUUCGGAGAAGCUCAGCACACAGUCAGGCUUGUGUUUUUUUUAAUUUUAUUUAAUUAAUUCAUUUCUAUUCUUCAUUAUCUUAUAUUCUUGGAUCCAAUUCAUUCAUAUGUCUAUAAACCACGAUACAAAUUUAACUGUACCAUUUUUCGGUUAAACCGUUUGGUGCCCACAAUGGGGCAUACACAAUUUUGUUAUUACUUUAACCCAUUCAUCUGUUACUAACGCAUUUUUGAUGCUUUUCUUUAGUUAUUCAAAGAAAAAUAAAAUAUGACAGCUAACGAUGUAAACAACUCUUUCAAUGUUGGAAAAAACAAUGAGCGUGGGAAUAUGUUCUAGCGUGAUGAUUCAACCAGUGAAACUCGCAACAAAGGUGAUGAGAGAACUCCGGUUCACGAAGAAUGAAAUCUUCGGCAUGUGAGAAGUCCAACUCUUGAUGAUAUGGACAUGAACCUAUUGUUGAAACGAUAAAAGUUUUGAGAGCGCAACAAAGGAAAAUCAUAAAUCAUCUCUCGGGACAAGACCGUGAAUGACGGAGCUGAAACAAGCACUUUCGGUUGCUUCCAAUAAUUUCAAUAGCGUAGUUCGAGCCCUUUAGGGUGCCUGCAUAUCAAACGCGCAAAGAACCGGUAACAUAUAGCUUCGAGGGAGGAGCUCAAUUUUAUGAAAAUCAAGCAGGUGGUUCAGGAAGUGGAUCCGGGAAUAAUGACAAUACAAAUGAUCCUUUUAAAACCGAGCUCAUGAGAUUAUGAGAAAAAUGAAUGAACGAAUGGAUCAAAAUGCUAAAGAAUUUCAUGAUCGGAUGGAUCAAAUCCCGGGAGCACCACCCGUAUUGAAGGGUCGGAUUCGAAGAAAUAUACAUAGUUGCCUUUCAAACUAAGUGCGACCCCGGAGUUGAUUCUAAAGAGAUUCAAGAUGCCCGAUAUUCUGAAAUAUGAUAUAACUUCGGAUCCACAAAAGUACAUCACAACUUACACUAUGGUUCGGUAUCGGAUCAGUGGGCAGCUCAUGAAGUAUUCACCAAAGGUCUUAAUCAUUUGGCCCACAUGAGAUUGAAUCUAUGUAUGCAACUAUCAAUUUACUUAUUGAAGAUGGUUUUCAUUGAACAGUGAAUUACCUAUGAACAGAUGAAUUUUAUAUAUCGUGCAAUAUUUACGCUGUCGAAUAAAUUCAUUAAAGACAUUCGCAAGACAUAUUCAGAAGUUUCUUGGCCAAAUAAUUCAUUAAAGUAAAAAGUUUACAUAACGUACGUGAGAAUUAAUAUAAAACUUACUAUAACACGUGCAUGUACGAGUAGAGUCAAUCAAUUUACUAUAUUGGGCUACUCGUGCAGGCAAAAUUGGAAUGUGCACGUGUGUAUUGAUGACGUAUAUAACAUAUAUCCAGAAUCCCUAGUUUACAUCCAUACAGUAACAUAUGUCAUACUAUAUUAUACAUAUGUCAUACUAUACUAAUCAAUAAGAUUUUACAUUGCGUAUGCAUAAAAAUGUAAAUAUAUAGUCAUCUGAAAACUAUCAAAUUUCCCUAAAUUUCUUGAUAAACUAACCACCAUUUCCUUUGUGUACACGGCUAUAUAUGGAAGCAUUUGGAUUAAUAAAAUUCAAAUGAAAUAUUUGGUUCCAAAUUCAAGUUGUUCUUUGAAGGGAAUAGAAUAGAAGAAUGGUAGAAAAUUUGCUGUGUAUUACUUUCUUUGCAAGACACUGUAUAUAUACAAGUAUAUGUCACUCCAUAUCUAAAAUCCGAUGUAAAUAAGCUAUAAAAGAAAAUGAUAAAUGUCACACCUCCUUUUUACACACCCGAGAGUAUAUAGGGGACUUUUUCCAAUUUAAGUGACAUUAUUCGAAAUAAGAUUAUUUAUUCAAUUCAGAGUCGCCACUUGGAAUAUUUUAAUUGGUGUUCCAAGUCACCGGUUUAUUUUAAAUCCCAAAUCGAGGAAAUUUCGACUUUCCUUUUGAAGUCUGCGAACCAGAAAUUCUGAAUAAGGAAUUCUGUUAACCCGAGGGAAGGUGUUAGGCACCCCCGGAUUCCGUGGUUCUAGCACGGUCGCUUAAAUUAUCAUAAUUGGCCUAUUAUCUGAUUCUAAUACAUGUUUUAGCCUAUGGUACAUUUUAACUCGUUAAACCGCUUUUAGUUAUUUUUUAGGAAGAUUCAAUGUUAUUUAAAACACGUCUUGAACCACACCACAUGAAAUGCACCUGCGGUCCACGAUACAUUUUAUUUAACGUUGUUGAGAUUUGGAUUUGGGUCACAUGAAAUGCACACCCGAGUUUAAGGAAAUUAAUUUAAAUAGCGCGCCUAAAUCAACUACGCACUUUCAAGUUUGUGAGGGCCAUUGAAAAUUCAGCUAAUGACACACCUCGAUUUCUAAAGAGUUAAUAUUAAUUACAUGAGAGCCAUGGGUUAUUUAAUGAGAAUGACACCAAAUUAUUAGCUUAAAAUCCUAAAUCAAUGAACUGUUGGUUUGUCUCCAAUUAAAUUAUCCAUGUAGCAAUACCAAAAUUGUCUCACUAGAUAUUAUCCAAAACAUAACAACCAGGAGGAAUUCACAUUAUGAACAUUUAAAGCAUGAUUCAAUAUUUGACCACAUAAAGGUAAACCACACACAGUACUAAUAUUGGUUACAACCAAGCAAUUCAAACUAUUCUCACGUAAUUGUAUACCAAAGAUGGUUAUGUAUCAUUUAUUUACAUUCGGAAAUAUCUAUUUUACUAUAUGCUCUAUGAAUUGUCUUAAACAAAAAAAAUUAGUUACCCACUUAUUCUUUGGUUCACUUCAAAAAUUGCAAGAUGCCUCUGUCACUUAAUAUUCACAACAAACUCAUGGAAAAGUUCAUCACAACAAAGAAUUAAAAAACAUUCAAAGCUUUCUCAUCACAGAUGCAUUAUUAGAAUCCAAACAAACACAUUGAAAAGGAUUUAACGGGAAACGAAAAUUUUAAAACAAAAAAAAAAUCACUAAAGAAUUCAAAUAGCAAGGGUAAGAAUGAACCUUAAUAUUCAGUAAAUAAACUUCUUCAAUAGAUGAAAACACGAACCUCCCGACGUCAACAAACUAUAUGAAUUCCAAAGAUUACAACCCCAAUAAAGAGUCAAACAAGAUCCGUGACAUGAGCACUCGAACGACGAUCUCGACGGAACCUCCGAUUUUGGUGAUUUCGGAACUGUUUGCAGCUGGUUCGAUGGCUGAAGAAGCAGUGUGUUUCCGCUACAAUUUUGAAGCUAUUUUGGGGCUUAAUUUGGAGGUCGUUUUGGACAUGGGUUUUGGGGCGACGCAGCUGGUUUUAAAGCUGCAUUAAUGGAGAUUUUCGGACUGGUUUUAAUGGUGAAAAAGUCGUUGUUAUCUGGUGAAUUUUGAAGGUUAUUUGCUAGAGUUUUAUAUAGAAACAUGGACUGUGUUUGAGGUUGGAAGGAGGUAGAUCAAUGGUUGAUUUUUGAGAAAACUUUGUAGAUGCUUUAACAGAGUAAAAAGGUAUAGCUCAUGGUGUCUAUGAUGGCUUAAGGGAGGAUUGUCCCGUUUGGAGAGGAAGCACCAGAUUUUAUUGUGCAUUUUUGCUGAAGAAACGACAGAUCCAAA